UUUCCGUAGGUGAACCUGCGAAAGGAUCAUUAUUGGAUUUUGAAACUUCAGGCUGCUGCUGGCUCUCCUCGGAGGGCAUGUGCACGCUUGUUGUCCAUUAUUUCUCCCACUGUGCACAAAUUGUAGACCUUUCAGUAGGCCUAUGUUGUUUUUCACAAUCUCUGAAUGUAAUAGAAUGGUUUUGAAUCUUGGGAAAUACAAUACAACUUUCAGCAACGGAUCUCUUGGCUCUCACAUCGAUGAAGAACGCAGC
rnacentral:misc_RNA from 1 species